rnacentral:rRNA from 1 species
GGAGUUAGCCGGUGCUUCUUCUGUGAGUGAUGUCCUUCCUGCCGGUUAUUGACCCGCAGGCCUUCUUCCUCACUGAAAGUGCUUUACAACCCGAAGGCCUUCUUCACACACGCGGCAUGGCUGGAUCAGGGUUGCCCCCAUUGUCCAAUAUUCCCCACUGCUGCCUCCCGUAGGAGUCUGGGCCGUGUCUCAGUCCCAGUGUGGCUGAUCAUCCUCUCAGACCAGCUACGGAUCGUCGCCUUGGUGAGCCGUUACCUCACCAACCAGCUAAUCCGACAUAGGCUCAUCCGAUAGCUCGAGGCCCGAAGGUCCCCCGNUUUCCCCCGUAGGGCGUAUGCGGUAUUAGCCUGGGUUUCCCCCAGGUUAUCCCCCGACUACCGGGCAGAUUCCUAUGCAUUACUCACCCGUCCGCCGCUCGCCACCAGGGAGCAAGCUCCCCGUGCUGCCGCUCGACUUGCAUGUGUUAGGCCUGCCGCCAGCGUUCAAUCUGAGCCAGAAUCGAACCCUGA